ACUGACUGUGCAAAUAUUAAUUAUGAUGAUUUUUUUCUAAGCAUCAUCCUAAGGACCAGUGCAAGUUGAAAUGGGCUUCCAGCCAACAACUUCAACAGCAAUUUGCCAUGAAAAUCAGCAAGAAAGGUAAUUCAUUUACAUUGAUGAUGUCAUAUCCCCUGGACCCCACAACUUUACAGGUUACAGAGAAAAUUCAAGAACUUCUGCAAAAUGUGGGACUUGGAUAGAAUCAAUAAUGUAUUUGUGAGCCCAGAGCAAUGGAUAUAUUGUGCAACAUACUAAAGUGUGAAUUUAAUGGAAAACAAGUACAUGUACUCAUGUAUUACAUGUCUUUUUUAAAGACAAUAAUAUUGUAUAAAUAUAGAGGAAGUGUCAUUGUUGAUUAUUCUAAGUUUUUGAUAUAUCAAAAUCAGUAAACAUUUCUAAAUGAAAAUAAAAUACCAAUUUUAUAAC